GCUUCCACACCCUUGUUCUUGCAAUUACCAACUCUUUCUAUUUGAUAUUUUGUACCACUUAUACAUGUGUAUGUAUUCAUCUAAUACAUUAAAAUGAAUAGACAUGCUGGAAUGUUUACCGGCUGAUAUCUGUAGAUUUUGUAUCCUCUCCACUUUCUUAUUUGCUGUAUAAAUCAUGGUUAAACCCCUUUUUACCCCCGCCCAUAUAUAACACUGAAUUGCGAGAUUGCGACGCAAUAACCAGCACUUGGGUAUGAAUAACUGGGUACACUACCAGCAGUAUAUUGGAUAGACACUAUCCCUUAGUUGGUUUCUCAACCUCUAACUCACACAGAAAUAUAUCAGAAAUGAACUC